UUAUUCCUGAGGUGUUUGCCAGUUCUCUGUUUUUACCCACAUUUUCUACAACGGGGUCCUGGUCAGGGGUUGGAUGCCACGCCUCCGUGGAAACACGCCAGAGGACGGCAAAAGGCUGUUGCGGGACGCCGGCCUGCUUAACAUAGCGGGUGAAAAAAUAGAGGGCAGCGGCACUUUGGGGUAGCC
rnacentral:other from 1 species